GCCGUCGCCUGCUGCUGUCGUCGGGAGGAAAAAUGAAUGGGAGGGCUGAUUUUCGAGAGCCGAAUGCAGAGGUUCCAAGACCAAUUCCCCACAUAGGGCCUGAUUACAUUCCAACAGAGGAAGAAAGGAGAGUCUUCGCAGAAUGCAAUGAUGAAAGCUUCUGGUUCAGAUCUGUGCCUUUGGCUGCAACAAGUAUGUUGAUUACUCAAGGAUUAAUUAGUAAAGGAAUACUUUCAAGUCAUCCCAAAUAUGGUUCCAUCCCUAAACUUAUAUGUAAGUAUGAACAACAUUGUAGUUUUCAUAGCUUUUUAAAACUUAGGUAAAAUUAUUUUUAUCAAAUGUUUUAUCAUGUCUUACUCAUAUUAGUUAUGUGGUUACAUGCUCUGAUAAAUCAGUCUGUUAAAACAUUUCAUUAAGUGGAUUACUUGGAUAUUUUAUUGUUAGCAUAAAAAAUCAUCAGUUGAAAUAGGCAUUUUUUUGUGUCUUUAUAAUGUAA
rnacentral:sRNA from 1 species